AGAGUUUGAUCCUGGCUCAGAACGAACGCUGGCGGCGUGCCUAACACAUGCAAGUCGAGCGAGAAAGCCCGCAAGGGUGAGUACAGCGGCGCACGGGUGCGUAACACGUGGGUAAUCUUCCUUGGAGCCCGGAAUAACUCCCCGAAAGGGGUGCUAAUGCCGGAUGAGACCACGGGGUCUUUGGACCCUGAGGGAAAAGGCGGCCUCUGUAUACAAGCUGUCACUCCAAGAUGAGCCCGCGGCCCAUCAGCUAGUUGGCGGGGUAACGGCCCACCAAGGCUACGACGGGUAGCUGGUCUGAGAGGACGAUCAGCCACACUGGAACUGAGACACGGUCCAGACUCCUACGGGAGGCAGCAGUGGGGAAUCUUGCGCAAUGGGCGAAAGCCUGACGCAGCAACGCCGCGUGUGUGAUGAAGGUCUUCGGAUCGUAAAGCACUGUCGGGAGGGACGAAUAAGGGGCGGGCUAACAUCCCGUUCCGAUGACGGUACCUCCAAAGGAAGCACCGGCUAACUCUGUGCCAGCAGCCGCGGUAAUACAGAGGGUGCAAGCGUUGUUCGGAAUUAUUGGGCGUAAAGCGCGUGUAGGCGGCCUUGCAAGUUGGGUGUGAAAGCCCUCGGCUUAACCGAGGAAGUGCGCCCAAAACUACAGGGCUUGAGUACCGGAGAGGGUGGCGGAAUUCCCGGUGUAGAGGUGAAAUUCGUAGAUAUCGGGAGGAACACCAGUGGCGAAGGCGGCCACCUGGACGGAUACUGACGCUGAGACGCGAAAGCGUGGGUAGCAAACAGGAUUAGAUACCCUGGUAGUCCACGCUGUAAACGAUGAGCGCUAGGUGUUGUGGGUGUUGACCCCCGCAGUGCCGCAGCUAACGCAUUAAGCGCUCCGCCUGGGAAGUACGGCCGCAAGGCUAAAACUCAAAGGAAUUGACGG
rnacentral:rRNA from 1 species